UACGAAGGGUCCAAGCGUUGUUCGGAAUCAUUGGGCGUAAAGCGCGCGCAGGCGGAUUUGCAAGUCAGAUGUGAAAUCUCGAAGCUCAACUUCGAAACUGCGUCUGAAACUGCUAGUCUAGAAUGUCGGAGGGGGGCAGGGGAAUUUCACGUGUAGGGGUAAAAUCCGUAGAGAUGUGAAGGAACACCGGAGGCGAAGGCGCCUGCCUGGACGACUAUUGACGCUGAGGCGCGAAAGCGUGGGGAGCAAACAGG
rnacentral:rRNA from 1 species